UGGCUGUGUGUGCGCGUGAGUCUCUAUAUAAGAGAUGUAAAGCUUGUUGUUUGAGUUGAGGCCGUGAGGGCUGGGGAAACAAUGUAGUGUUUGUGGCUGCCAAGUAAGAGUGCCUCUGGGCAAAGCUUGUGUGCUCUUCUUGGUAUAUGCGUGUGUGUGUGUGUAGAGUCUUCCCCUUGUGUGUGUGUGUGUGUUCUUGAGAGAAAAAGAUAGAGAGAAACCACAAGAGAGUUUUGUGAGGGAGCUUGAGGUAGAAGAAGAAGCGGCGCUGCGAGGAGGCGGCGCCAACAUUUGGUAUUCAGAGCCUUGUUGAUCCGUGACGGCGACGACGGUGCCGGCGGCUAUGGUGGCCGGCGUGGCGCUGGGCGCGAGGUGAUGGCUGGCAGCGGCGCGAUGCCGCGGGCGGCCGGUUGCGGUGCGAUGCCGCGAGAUGAAGAUGGUGCGAUGAUCGGCGUCGCGAGGACGUCAUCCACGACAAGAUGGUCCGUGGUGACCGGCGCUGCGACGGCGUCGUUUGUGGCGCGACGGACUUCAUGCGAGAUGGAGGCCGACGGCGCAAGAAGGAGCAUGGUGGCCAUGCGGUGCCGCUAUGUGAAGAUGGCGGUGCGAAGCUGCCACAAGAAGAGUCGGCGUGAUGCCGACGACGGUGGUGUGAUGCCAUCGUCAUCAUGGAAAGUUGGUGUGAAGCCAACAAAAGUUGCGGUGCGAUGCCGCUUGGCGAAGACGGCGUGGUGAUCGGCGCUGCGACAGCGUCGUCCACGUCAAGAGGUGGCCGCUGCGCGCGGCAAGAGUACAUGGUGAUGGACGCGGGCGCUGCGAUGGCGUCGGUCCACGGCGAGGUGUGCAGCGCGGCGAUUGUGUCGUCAAGUGGCAGCGGGUGAACCGCGUGAAGAUUGGAGAAUCAAGAUUAGGAGGGAAAAUGUUAGGUUUAAUCUUGAUUUAUGUAUCUGCAUAUUUAGUUUGUUUUUGUUAUGCAUGUUGCAUAGGUUAGAGAGUAGCUAGUCCGGUGAAGUUUCAGCGGAGGCAUGCGGAUACGGCGAGAUGCCGGGCUGCCGAUGACGGCGUGAAGGCGCGGUGCCGUGUGAUACGGCGCAAGGCUUGAUGCCGGGUGGUAUAGCCGUGGGAAGCGGCGAGACGCGUGCAGGAUGAAGCCAAACCGGCUGGCUGGAUAGAUCAAGUUGGAGCCAGGAGAAUUGGUCAGGUUGCAUGCAGUCGGUUAGUUGAACGGCUUGGCCGUGUAGUCUGGACGUGGGCGUGCAUGUAGUGCAUGUAGCUAGGGAUUAGUUAGUGGUGCGUGCGUGGGUUAGUGGCCGGUGUGGCCGUGGCUGUGUGUGCGCGUGAGUCUCUAUAUAAGAGAUGUAAAGCUUGUUGUUUGAGUUGAGGCCGUGAGGGCUGGGGAAACAAUGUAGUGUUUGUGGCUGCCAAGUAAGAGUGCCUCUGGGCAAAGCUUGUGUGCUCUUCUUGGUAUAUGCGUGUGUGUGUGUAGAGUCUUCCCCUUGUGUGUGUGUGUGUGUUCUUGAGAAAAAAAGAUAGAGAGAAACCACAAGAGAGUUUUGUGAGGGAGCUUGAGGUAGAAGAAGAAGCGGCGCUGC
rnacentral:lncRNA from 1 species